AGCUACUUACCUUAAUCCAGCAGAAUGGAGUGGAGCAGAAUGCACAUGCGUGACAAGUGCCGCACGUGCAUUCAAACAUUGCAUAGGAAAGCAUUUCUCAAUGCUUUCCUGUGGACGUUCUGCACGCUGGAUGCGAAUUUUGCAUCCAGCAUCGGAGACGGGCCUCUAGCGGCUGUCAGGAAGACCGCCACUAGAGGUUGGAUUAAUCCCUAAUGUGAACAUAGCAGUUUCUUUGAAACCGCUAUGUUUACAUCUGAAGGGUUAAACCUGGGGGACCACUCAUUGAGCUGAAGUGGUCUGGGUGACUAUAGUGUCCCUUUAAUGCUGUUAUACAGUAGGGGUUACCACCAAAACAUUCUUCUCAUCCACUUCUGGCCCACAUACCAUGCUCAAAUUCCAUCAUACCUUUCCACCCACCACAAAUUUUUGCUACCUUCCUUCUAAAACUCUCCUAAUAUCAUCACAUCUUCUCUCAAACUGCAAAUGUCAUGUGCUCGUGAAUUUCCUUUUGCAAUUUAAACAAAAAAUGAUUAAUUAGAAUAUAUUUGUCCUUUUAAAUUUGAGUGUGUAUUCUUUAAUAAAGGACUACUUAAGAGUCAGAACUGAUUACAUCAAAGACCCAGGGACACUUCAGUGUAUUGUGGAUUUAACAGACUGGGGUACAUAUCUGCAUUGUUGUUUCUCCUUUUUUAUUUGAAUGUUGCAUAAAUAAAUUGAUUUACCUCCUAUAUGGCAGGGAAUUGAGCAGUGAGACUGCAGGACCAUAACCUAUACAUCAAAACUGAUUCAUUAAGCUAAAGUUGUUUUGGUGGUUAGUGUCCCUUUAAUAAAUUGAGGCCCUUGUAUGACUCUAUCCAUUUCAGACAUCAGUUAAGAAAGUAAUUGUUUCACCAUUAUUGACAUUUGUUACAUAAUAUACUCUCAUAAAUUAGCCACCACAUCGCUGUACUGUAAAUAUUGUAUACUAUGUAAUACAUUCAACUAUUCCAGCUGUGCUAUGGGAUAAUUUCUGAUGUUUGUGACUUUCCAUGUUGCUGAUUUUCAGUCAGUGAGACUUAUUUUUUUUUUAUUUUGCUGCAUUGAUCACAAUAAAAAGCAAUUUAUUUAAAAAAAAAUUCUAAACAUAAAAUUGUUAUAACUUUAAAACAUUCAACACAUUCUCAGUCUCUUAAGGACCAUGCGUCGCAUCUUUAAGGGUCUAAUUCCACAAUGGAACAACUGCAGAGCUGUGGUAAUAUUUGUUUAAAAGAGUUAGACAAUGUGAUGCAUAAUAGACUAUUAGACAUUAACCUUACAUAAUAUUCAUGUAGUAAAUUGUCUGAAUGAUAUAUAUACAGGGAGUGCAGAAUUAUUAGGCAAAUGAG